UAAUCUAAUCUAAUCUAAUCUACAAAAAGUCACCUGUCAGUCAUUACCCUUUGCCUGCUUCCCAUAGGCUAAUUUUGUGGGCCAUACUCUUUCCUUCGUUAUCCUCUUCCUCCUAAUAAAUUGAUGAAACAUCUUUUGGUUCAUCUUGUGGUUGUUUGCCAAUAUUCUUUCCUGCUUUCUGCUUUCCUUUAUGGUUUCACCCAUCCACUUUGUAUAUUCUGCUGGUUUUACAGGUGAGUGAGUUCUCUGUGUCGGAUGUGUUUUUAACUUUUCUGGCUUCUCUUGUCCUGUAAGCUUCUCAUCAAUCAGGGGGCUCUUCUGUCAUCCCUCCCAUUUGUUUGUGACUCUGAAUUCCUUGAAACUCCCAUUUGAUUCCCUCGACUGCCUUGACACUGAUUUGACUUCAAGUAGCUGUUUCCAGUCCACUUUUUCAGAACUGCUCCUCAGUUUAGUAAAAUUUUGCCUCACACCAAUUUAAAGUAUAAGUCCUGUCCUAUAUUUGUCCAUGUCACAAUUAUUUUAAAGUUAAUUGAAUUAUUAUCACUGACAUCAAAAUGCUCUCCCACUGAUACUCUGACCUGAGAUUUAAUCCUAAACUGCGCCCUUUCUUGUUGAAUUUAUUAUUUUGGCAAGAAACAUUCUCCUCAGUAGAUUUUGAGAAUUCUGCUCCCAACAUUGCUUUCACAGUAUUUCUAUCCCACCUAAAAUCCCAACCAUUUCUCUGAGAAUUCUAGACAUACUAGUUUUACUACCUCUCUUGCCUGUUUAGGGUUCUGUAAUACGCUCCCAGCAGAGUGACAUUCCCUUUUAUGAUUCUCAGCUCAAACAACCUCAUUUGAUGAUCCUUUUCCAUUCCAUCCUUCCUCACAGCUGACAUUGUUUUUCUAACUAAAAUUGUCACCCUGUCCUCCUCUAUCCUCCUCUCUACCAUAUCUAAAAACUCUACAACUAGUAUCAUUGAGUGCCAAUUCUGUGCUUCUUUAAACUAAGAUACAACUACCACGUUUCCUUUAUGUGCUGCACUCCUUGCAUUCACGUCCAUACCCUUGAACACUGCUAAACUCUCUGUUUUAAUUCUCUAGUCUUUAUUUCCCCUCCCUUCCAUUUCUGCCUGUGUCCCAUUUGAGUUCACCACGUUUCCACCUGUCAAACUAGAUCAUUAGUCUAUUGAUCUAGUUAUAGAGUCAUAGAAUCCUAGAGAUGUACAGCACAGUUACAGACACUUUGGUCCAACUCCUCCAGGCC